AUAUCGCUAAGGGCUAUAGCUCAGUUAGGUGGAGCACCUCGUUUACACCCGAGAAGUUCUACAGUUCGAGUCCGUAUAGCCCUA
rnacentral:tRNA from 1 species